rnacentral:rRNA from 1 species
GUCUCCGGCCACGCCGCCCCGAACGAGCCCGAUCCCGUCGGAUCUCGGAAGCUAAGCAGGGUCGGGCCUGGUCGCAGAAACUCAGAAAUGACACAAGAGUGGUCCCGGGAGCGGAAUAAA